AACGAACGCUGGCGGCAGGCCUAACACAUGCAAGUCGAACGCCCCGCAAGGGGAGUGGCAGACGGGUGAGUAACACGUGGGAACGUACCCUUUGGUUCGGAACAACUCCGGGAAACUGGAGCUAAUACCGAAUAAGCCCUACGGGGGAAAGAUUUAUCGCCGAAGGAUCGGCCCGCGUCGGAUUAGCUAGUUGGUGGGGUAAAAGCCUACCAAGGCGACGAUCCGUAGCUGGUCUGAGAGGAUGACCAGCCACACUGGGACUGAGACACGGCCCAGACUCCUACGGGAGGCAGCAGUGGGGAAUAUUGGACAAUGGGCGCAAGCCUGAUCCAGCCAUGCCGCGUGAGUGAUGAAGGCCUUAGGGUUGUAAAGCUCUUUCGCCAGGGACGAUAAUGACGGUACCUGGAUAAGAAGCCCCGGCUAACUUCGUGCCAGCAGCCGCAGUAAGAC
rnacentral:rRNA from 1 species